rnacentral:rRNA from 1 species
UUGGAGGGCAAGUCUGGUGCCAGCAGCCGCGGUAAUUCCAGCUCCAAUAGCGUAUAUUAAAGUUGUUGCAGUUAAAAAGCUCGUAGUUGAAUUUCGGGAUCAGAGUGUCGGUCGUGCCUCGGUACGCACUGGUAUUAUUGGUUCCUACCUUCUGAAGAACCGCGAUGUCAUUAAUUUGGUGUCGUGGGGAAUCAGGACUGUUACUUUGAAAAAAUUAGAGUGUUUAAAGCAGGCUUACGCUUGAAUACAUUAGCAUGGAAUAAUGAAAUAGGACGUUUGAUUCUAUUUUGUUGGUUUCUAGGAUUGACGUAAUGAUUAAUAGGGAUAGUUGGGGGCAUUAGUAUUCAAUUGUCAGAGGUGAAAUUCUUGGAUUCAUUGAAGACUAACUACUGCGAAAGCAUUUGCCAAGGAUGUUUUCAUUAAUCAAGAACGAAAGUUAGGGGAUCGAAGACGAUCAGAUACCGUCGUAGUCUUAACCAUAAACUAUGCCGACUAGGGAUCGGAUGAUGUUAAUUUUUUAAUGACUCAUUCGGCGCCUUACGGGAAACCAAAGUGUUUGGGUUC